rnacentral:rRNA from 1 species
AGGACGAACGCUGGCGGCGUGCUUAACACAUGCAGGUCGAGCGGAAAGGCCCUUCGGGGUACUCGAGCGGCGAACGGGUGAGUAACACGUGAGUAAUCUGCCCCUAGCUCUGGGAUAGCUCCGGGAAACCGGGAUUAAUACCAGAUACGACCACUUUAGACAUCUGCUGUGGUGGAAAGAAUUUCGGCUAGGGAUGAGCUCGCGGCCUAUCAGCUUGUUGGUGAGGUAACGGCUCACCAAGGCGACGACGGGUAGCCGGCCUGAGAGGGCGACCGGCCACACUGGGACUGAGACACGGCCCAGACUCCUACGGGAGGCAGCAGUGGGGAAUAUUGCGCAAUGGGCGAAAGCCUGACGCAGCGACGCCGCGUGGGGGAUGAAGGCCUUCGGGUUGUAAACCCUUUCAGCAGGGACGAAGCGAAAGUGACGGUACCUGCAGAAGAAGCGCCGGCUAACUACGCGCCAGCAGCCGC